UGUUGAUACAAAUUAAUAUUAAAAGUUGUACAAGUACUUCCGCAAAGAAAAAAUGAUACGUCAUGGAGUUUUACAAAUUUGAAUGACAUUUUAAAACAAAAAUCCUAUUGUGUUUGUCAUGCCUUUGAAGGCACCAACAUGACUAUAUCCCGUUUAUUCUAUAAACCGAGUGUCUAAAAAUCUAAAAAACAAAAAUAGCGCCACCUACUAGGUAUUUCCUUUUUUUCUGGUCAGCAUGUUAUGGGUUUCGCUCACGGUGUGUUGUGCAGGAUAAGAGUUAUUUAAAUGUUUUUUUACAUCCGAGUAGGUAUGUAAUUGAUAGCUCUGCGUACAAGCGUAAUGAAAGAACUGUUAGAUAAUAUUGUGAGAUAUGGUUCAAGUUCAUAAGAAAAGUUAGCAUGCAGCAGCCAGACCAGUCAGCGUGUAGGGCUGUAAGUUUCAAUAUUACUACCUGUUCAAAACUUAGAUCAAUUAAAAGAGCACUACGUUUGCCGGGUGUCCGGGAAACGUAGUGUCGUAUUGUCGUAUGAUCCCAUGUCCACUAACUAAUUAAACUUAACUCUCUCUUUUUUUAUGAGCAAUUGACACAGCUAAGCAAACAUUUCUAAUUAUUUAAGUUUACUCCAAAUAUCAACCCAUGUGCAGCGCUAUCAUUAAAAAGGUUACUCUCAACCUUAAAAGCAGUACUCAAAAUUCGCUUGGAAUGCCUGAACGCGACUUGUAAACACCAGCUACAGAGAAGUCAUCCCCACAGCAAGUAGAUACAGUGCAAAAAUACUCGUCCUCGAGUAACCAACGCAUUCUACUGGGGAACGAUCCGGCGAAAGGAAUACCAGCUGUUGACGAGCUAUUGAAUUUUCGUUAGUUUUAAAGAAGUCUGAAAAUACUGUUGACAUUUAUAUUACUUAUUAUCAUUAAGUGAUUCGUGUUUUAUUUAAUGCUGAUGCUCCUUUGUAUUCUUUUUAAUAAUGAGCUGAGAGCGCGAAUUACAACUGCAUCAUAAGCAUCGCGAGAAUAUUAAUACUUUAGACAUAAUUUAAUAUACUUUAUGUUAUAUUGUUUAAUGGUAUGAUAUUUUUUUCUUUGGUGUUUGUUACUUGGCAACAGUAUUCUUGUACUUUAUUCACUUCUCGUGUACUAGUUUAGUAUAUCCCUGGACUGUAGGAACACACUGAACGGAACACUUGUCCCGGGUGUUUGCCUAAAGGAACGCUACGCUAUUGAAAGCAAAAAAAGUCACAUUUUAAUCAUUGUAUCGAUGUUAGUGUUAGAAAUGUUAUAAUUAAUGUCUAAAUAUCUCUGAGGUAACACUGUUUCCAGCUUUAUUAGUUUGCAUGCACGGAGUGGGAAUCGGAACUACGAUUUAAGUUAGUUGAUAAGAAUUUAAUGUAAGAUGGGGACUAAGAUUUAAAGGGACGGUCCUCAGGCAUUUAGUUUAUAGAAUAUAUACAUAAAAAUAAUAUAGAUAUAAUUGGCAUUUAUUCUUUGUGUUAGAUUUAAGUGUUAGUUCUUAUAUUCCAGUUAAGAGUUUUCGUGUAUAACAAUGAUUAAUAUAGAAACUAGUUAAGUUAUAAAAAAAAAAAUAAAAAAAAAUCUGUGUGUAUUUAUGUGUAAAUAUAAAUAGUUAACGAAUAGACUAAUGUUUCACGCGACGUCAAAAAACAUAAGAACUCAAGACCCACAGGAUUAUUCUCUUAACUGUUAAUGUAAUAUCUAUAAGUAUUAUAAGAAUAGUAUAAUUAAAAUAGGUUAGUCAAA